rnacentral:lncRNA from 1 species
GAGUGUGAAUGGGUGUGUGAACGAGUGGGUUAGUGUGUGAAUGAGUGGGUUAGUGUGUGAGAGUGUGUGAGUGGGCGAGUUAGUGUGUGAAUGAGUGGGUUAGUGUGUGAAUGGGUGUGUGAGUGGGUUAGUGUGUGUAUGGGUGUGUGAACGAGUGGGUUAGUGUGUGAAUGAAUGGGUUAGUGUGUGAAUGAGUCAGUGGGUUAGUGUAUGAAUGUGUGUGAGUGGGUGGGUUAGUGUGUGAAUGAGUGGGUGAGUUAGUGUGUCAAUGAGUGGGUGAGUUUGUGAAUGAGUGUGUGUGAACAACUGGGUGAGUGUGUGAAUGAGUGGGUGAGUGUGUGAAUGAGUGGGUUAGUGUGUGAAUGAGUGGGUUUGUGAAUGAGCCGGUGGGUUAGUGUGUGAAUGAGUUAGUGUGUGAAUGAGUGGGUGGGUUAGUGUGUGAAUGAGUUAAUGUGUGAAUGAGUGGGUGAGUUACUUUGUGAACGAGUGGGCGAGUUAGUGUGUGAAUGGGUUAGUGUGUGAAUGAGUGGGUGUGUGAAGGAGUGGGUGAGUUACUAUGUGAAUGAAUGGGUGAGUUAGCGUGUGAAUGGGUGGGUUAGUUUGUGAAUGAAUGGGUGAGUUAGUGUGUGAGUUGGUUAGUGUGUGAAUGAGUCGGUGGGUUAGUGUGUGAAUGAGUUCGUGUGUGAAUGG